UUUUUUUUUUUUUAGUUAGGAUUUCUGUUUUUCUCUAUUUUUAAUUGGCCAUGUAGUCUGUUUGAUUUUGUUAAAAUUUGUAUUCGACUCCGAGCUUUGAUAAUGGUAUUUCAAACAUUUGCUUGUGUUCUACUUUUGCACCUUUCAGGUAAUCGUUUAGAAUUUAGAUUAAUGCACCAAUCUGCGAUUUGAUAUAUAUUUGGAAUGCGUUAUGUUCUAUCUCCUGCUAGCUGAUCUGAACUUCUCAUUCACCCAUUCCUAUAGAUUCUUUUUUGUUAAUAAAACGGAUGGUUUGAAAUUAUGAAGCUACUUAGCUCAAUUCAAAUGCCAUGAAUGAUAGGAAAGUGGGCGUGUAAAUUCCAAAUCUCAAGUAAGCAGCUCUGGUUUGUAUAAUUCAGCUUUUAAACAUGAUGAUGGGAUGGUUUGAAAUUAUGCCGCUAUUUGGACAGUGAUUUGAGUUUUGAAGAACAGUGAAAAAUAGAUAGCUACUGACCGGAGAAUAUGGGGCACCACCUAGUGGUAUCAUCAAUGGAGUAGCUGCAGACUGCAUCGCUGGAAAAGACGAGGGAGUAAAGACUGAGGAGGCAGAAAAAGGGUUUUGCAUAUUAUGGUCUCAACAAUCAUUUCUCUGUUCUCGUUGAAUAUAAGUAAGCAGGGCACCACCUAGUGCCUCAUCCUGAAUGUACAAUACGAACUCUUCAGGAAAAGCAGUGUUUACCCAAUUUUUUGAACCAACCCUAUUAAGCCGCUGCUAUUUAGCAAUGCCUUGCAUGGGCACAUUGAUAUUCAUUAAAAAGAGUGGUUUUUCACAAAACCAUUUCUAAUUUUCUUGAGAAGGGGGAGCAAGCAACCUAGGAACCUUUAACAUUUACAAAUGAUAAUUACGAAUCAUUGAGCAGCUAGCUGAGAGCAUUAGAAGCCAGCCUAGGUACAAUGAGAUGAAAAUACAGCAUACUGCAGCAACCCUCAUGCCAAUUGCCAUCACAGCCUGAAGUACCUUGUGUACAUAUGGCUUGUAGGCGGCUUUCUUCGAUUCCCCUUAAAGUUAGAGAUUCUUAUAUCAUAACUAAGCAUGAACAACUCGCAUUGUUAUGGGAUCAACUUUUUUUAAUAUGAAAUGAAAAAUGAUCCCAUAAGAAUGCUAGUUCAUGCUGGAAAACUACAUAGGAGGCAGUUAGGGCAAAGCUUGAAAACUACAUGGAAAGCCAUGAAAUGUAAGAAAUCAUUAGCAAUGGCAUUAGCACUACAGUUGAUGUACCUUUUCUUUAACACAACACUCUUGUUCGGAUUCCUGGGAACCCGAUGGGUUUACUUUGAUGAUUUGGUGCUUUAUUGCCAGUAUUUUUUGGAAAAUCAGUUAUAAAAUUCGAGAAAUGAAUUUGUGAGACAGUAGGACAGAAGCAGUGAUCAGCCCUCAUGGUGUAGGAGUUUGGAAGUUUUUAGAAACCAACAGUCAAGCUUUUCCUCAAUGGUGCAAUCAGAAUAGAGAAUAUAAGAAUAAUCAACUUUUGGCACAACUUGUGGAUAUGGAUUACCCCAUGGAAAGCAAGAAUGUCCUUACCUAUUUAGUCUAGAAGCCAACAUUGAGGCUACAUCAUCGCAAGUUGCAACAGACAAUGGCUGGGAACUUAGGUUCAGAAGAGAGUGCUUUGACUAUGCAAUAGAAAGGUGGCCAGGAAGUAGAUCAGGCAUGCAGCUUAAUAGUAAGUGAGGAUACAUUGAUUUUGGAUGCUAGUGGGAAUUGAGUACAGAAAAGGGGAGUAAACAUAUGCAGCAGGUGCUUCAUUUGACGCAUGACAUGGAGGAUCAAACAUUUAUUCCUGCAUUGCCAGUUACAAGGCAACUACGAGACCUGUCCUGAUUUGUAAGCUAGUUGGGUCAUAGUUGCAAAAAGGAGCUGAGAAAAUUAUUGAAGACUGUCCCUACUUGUGUGUGCUGGACUAUUUGGGAGGGGAGAAACCAGAGGCGCAUUGAAGGGAAAUCAUCCAAUGUACAUAUGUUGAAGUAUACGUGUUAUUACAAAUUUUAACCGCAACAGAGGAAAUUGGUAGAGUUUAUAGGCAAUAUCAGAUGCAGCAGGUUAAUACUCCUUCUGUACAUGGGUAUACCCCUUUUUGGUAUUGGCCAGCAUUGGCUAAUUUAGUGCUAGAUAAUAGUAUAAAUGACAUACUACCCUCCAAGAAGGUUGGAAGUUACCACCCUACAAAAAGGUUGGAAGUUGGUGAAUAAAGCUAAAGAGGAAGGAGGUUUGGGUAGGCGGCUCAAUGAAGAUGUUGGCCUAAAGCUAAACUUCAAUAAGAGGCCUUCCAUCCAAUACAAUGAGGUUUGAGGAAAGAAGUAAGAGGCCUUAAUUUUUUGGUCAAAACAAAAAUCUCAUAUAUAUAUAUAUAUAUAAAGCCCAUUUUUCUAGCUUUUUGAGAUGCAAAAUUAUGAGUAGUAAUUUUCUAUUAUUGAUUUCUUCUAAAAAUUUUCUUUUAUUUAAUUUUGAUAAACCCCUUUCAACUGAGGCAACUGCUAUAUGAAUUGUUAACACUAUUCUAUAAACAACAAAGGCAUUUGGAAAAGAAUGAAGUUUUUCUAUCUGAUUGAGUAUAUUAAUUAAAGUAUAUAUUUUCCACUUAUAAAGAACUUUUCAUUUGAAAAAUAAGUCAUAAUGGCUAUUUUAUUUUAAAGAACGUUCAAGGCUAACCAAUUUUGGAGGGAAAAAUAUAUAAUUUAAAUAAUAGAAUCUAAUUCAAGUUGUUAUCAUUUAUAGAUGUAGAUCUUGGACCUAUGGAUGGGAUGAUAUCAAAAUAUAAUCUUUCGCUGCUUAAAUGUGCUUAUUGCAAUGCUUGAAAAACUUAAAGAAAAAACAAGAAGAGAAAGGCAGGGAGAUGUUUUCAGCACUCUAGUUUUUACGAAUAGUACUCUCAAACUCGAAGAAAAAGAAUUUAAAAGUAUAAUACACAUUCUUGGAAGAGGAUGCUAAAGGAUAAAAAUAACGUGGGCCAAUUUAAGAGGUUAGCUGUCAAAUGUAAAUGAGGCAAGAAAAUAUUUGCAUGUAAAGUGAUUACUAAAAUGACAUUUACCGAAAGGAUGGUUUCAUUUUUCUUUUAAUGAAAAAUUGCACUUUCUCCUUAGAAAUACUCAAUAUUUUUACGAAAAUCAAAAAAUAUACAUAUUACUAAAAUAAAUGGGGCCCCACGAAUAUGAGGCCUAAAGCAGUUGCUUGGGCUGCUUCACCUUUCACCUCCCUCUGAGUUAAGUUGGUGUGUUCCUUGGCUGGAUUGUCUAGGGCAUUUUCGGUUAGAUCCAAAGUCCUUUUGGGAUAAAGUGAUGCAAAAGCAAAGUCAGAAUAGUUGGAUGCUUCUUUAGCUUAAUGCAUCUGCUGAUGCUCUCUCUUGUACUUUAUUUUACUAAGAUGAACUUUGUAGAUUUGCAGCUCAUUCAAUUAUUGGAUCUAGUCGAGAAUGUCUUUUGCAGGUUGGAGAAUAAUGUGUAAAAGCUUCAGAGAAAUCGUCAAUUAAUUUGCCCCUUU